GACGAACGUUGGCGGCGUGCUUAAUACAUGCAAGUCAACUGAAGCAGUGGUAGCAAUAUCGCUGUGGAGGUGGCGCACGGGUGAGUAACACGUAGGUAAUCUGCCUUCAGGUCUGGCAUAACUCCGGGAAACCGGGGCUAAUAGCAGAUGAUGCAGCGGCUCGACAUCGAGACAGUUGUUAAAGCUAUGGCGCCUGAAGAUGAGCCUGCGUCUGAUUAGCUAGUUGGCGGGGUAACGGCCCACCAAGGCAACGAUCAGUAGCUGGUCUGAGAGGAUGAUCAGCCACACUGGAACUGAGACACGGUCCAGACUCCUACGGGAGGCAGCAGUAAGGAAUAUUGCUCAAUGGGAGAAAUCCUGAAGCAGCAACGCCGCGUGAGGGACGAAGGGCGUUGGCUUGUAAACCUCUGUAGUGAGAGAAAAAAAUCCCAAUCUUUGGGACAUGAUGGUAUCUCAAAAGUAAGCCCCGGCUAACUACGUG
rnacentral:rRNA from 1 species